rnacentral:rRNA from 1 species
UGGGGAAUAUUGCACAAUGGGCGCAAGCCUGAUGCAGCAAUGCCGCGUGUGUGAAGAAGGUCUUCGGAUUGUAAAGCACUUUCGACGGGGACGAUGAUGACGGUACCCGUAGAAGAAGCCCCGGCUAACUUCGUGCCAGCAGCCGCGGUAAUACGAAGGGGGCUAGCGUUGCUCGGAAUGACUGGGCGUAAAGGGCGUGUAGGCGGUUUACACAGUCAGAUGUGAAAUCCCCGGGCUUAACCUGGGAGCUGCAUUUGAUACGUGUAGACUAGAGUGUGAGAGAGGGUUGUGGAAUUCCCAGUGUAGAGGUGAAAUUCGUAGAUAUUGGGAAGAACACCGGUGGCGAAGGCGGCAACCUGGCUCAUGACUGACGCUG